rnacentral:rRNA from 1 species
UACGUAGGGGGCAAGCGUUGUCCGGAUUUAUUGGGCGUAAAGAGCGUGUAGGCGGCCAUACAGGUCCGUUGUGAAAACUGGAGGCUUAACCUCCAGACGUCGAUGGAAACCGUAUGGCUAGAGUCCGGAAGAGGAGAGUGGAAUUCCUGGUGUAGCGGUGAAAUGCGCAGAUAUCAGGAGGAACACCAAUGGCGAAGGCAGCUCGCUGGGACGGUACUGACGCUGAGACGCGAAAGCGUGGGGAGCAAACAGG